CCUACGGGAUGCAGCAGUGGGGAAUAUUUGGCCAUGGCGGAAACUCUGACCCCGCACCGCCGCGUGAAGGCUGACGGUUUUCUGAUUGUAAACUUCUGUCGCGAGGGAUGAAGAAUGACGGUACCUCGUAAGAAAGCGCCGGCAAACUACGUGCCAGCAGCCGCAGUAAUACGUAGGGAGCGAGCGUUGUCCGGAAUGACUGGGGUGAAAGGGAUUGUAGGCGGCAUAUUAAGUUUUGUGUGAAAGCCCGCGUCUCAACCGCGGAAUUGCACAUAAAACUGGUAAGCUGGAGUGCAGGAGAGGUAAGUGGAAUGCCCGGUGUAGCGGUGGAAUGCAUAGAUAUCGGGAGGAACACCAGAGGCGAAGGCGACGUACUGGACUGUAACUUACGCUGAGGCACGAAAGCGUGGGGAGCAAACAGGAUUAGAUACCCGGGUAGUC
rnacentral:rRNA from 1 species